GAUGAACGCUGGCGGCAGGCUUAACACAUGCAAGUCGAGCGGGGAGAGGUGCUUCGGUACUGAUCCUAGCGGCGGACGGGUGAGUAAAGCUUAGGAAUCUGCCAUUUAGUGGGGGACAACAUUCCGAAAGGGAUGCUAAUACCGCAUACGCCCUACGGGGGAAAGCAGGGGAUCUUCGGACCUUGCGCUAAAUGAUGAGCCUAAGUCGGAUUAGCUAGUUGGUGGGGUAAAGGCCUACCAAGGCGACGAUCUGUAGCGGGUCUGAGAGGAUGAUCCGCCACACUGGGACUGAGACACGGCCCAGACUCCUACGGGAGGCAGCAGUGGGGAAUAUUGGACAAUGGGCGGAAGCCUGAUCCAGCCAUGCCGCGUGUGUGAAGAAGGCCUUUUGGUUGUAAAGCACUUUAAGCGAGGAGGAGGCUACCUGGAUUAAUACUCUGGGAUAGUGGACGUUACUCGCAGAAUAAGCACCGGCUAACUCUGUGCCAGCCGCCGCAGUAA
rnacentral:rRNA from 1 species